rnacentral:lncRNA from 1 species
AUGUUUGUUACCAGACGUUGGGGCCAGACUCGCGCUGUUUGUUCCAGACCAGGACUCUGGCUGAGGAGCGCUGAUGGAGGAGCCAAGACUCUGGAGGACGACAUCACUCUACCAACAAAGAUCCUCAGCCCAACUGCUCCUGUGUUUGACCUUACAAUAGAGACAAAUUACAUUACCAGACCAGGAAUCUGGAGGACUGACGGAGAAGCCGUACAUCUGGAAGGCAAAUCCUGAGGAUGACCAGGACUCUACCAUCAAGGAUUCCUCACACACCUGAGCUGAACCUCACCUGAUCCUGUUUGGUCGGGGGAAGACGCACCUGAGCUGAACCUCACCUGAUUGGUCGGGGGCAGACUCACCUGAGCUGCACCUCACCUGAUCCUGUUUGGUGGGGGGCAGACUCACCUGAGCUGAACCCACCCUGAUCCUGACAUCCUGCUGGUCCCGUCUUCUCAGUUCAUCUGAGCCUCGUCCUCCAGAAGACCUGCUGAGCUCAGCGGUCUGAGGCUGAUGGAUCAAUGACCUCCAGUGGGAGUGAUCUUCUUGACCCCACAUGUAGCCGUGUCCUUCCACACGCCUUUCCCUCACGUCUGCCACUAACCUCACUACUUCACUACUCUCUACUGCUUCCUCUUUUCUUCCUUCUCUGUGGUUCAAACCUUUUAUACUGAAGGCGCGUCUUCCUGCCCUCAGAGGGUUUAGCGUUAGGGUUGAGAGUCAGGGUUUAGAGUCAGGGACAGAGCUGGUCAGGGAGGACUGCUUUUACACAAACCUCUUCACUUGCUUUCGGAAUGGUGGUGACAUUUUGAAAAGAUUCAUUGGGGAAAAUGUUUUCCUCUGCUUUCCUUUACAAAUUGUAUUCAACUUCUGUCAAGUGUUUUUGUUUAUAUUAAAAUCCCACAUUGACUUCUACAUGUUUGUUGCUGUUCAUUUAAUUGUCCUUUAACUUGGUUAAUGUCAAGCUAAACUCCUGCAAUACAUUUAAUAUACAUGAUUGUUAUUCUGCAAUGUUCACAUAUUCCAUUUUGAAAAAAUAUGAAACCUCCAUAUUACUACUAAAUUCAAG